UCAGGAUAACGCUGGCGGCGUGCUUAACACAUGCAAGUCGAGCGAUGAAGUUUCCUUCGGGAAACGGAUUAGCGGCGGACGGGUGAGUAACACGUGGGUAACCUGCCUCAUAGAGUGGAAUAGCCUCCCGAAAGGGAGAUUAAUACCGCAUAAUGUUGAGAGAUGGCAUCAUCUUUUAACCAAAGGAGCAAUCCGCUAUGAGAUGGACCCGCGGCGCAUUAGCUAGUUGGUGGGGUAACGGCCCACCAAGGCGACGAUGCGUAGCCGACCUGAGAGGGUGAUCGGCCACAUUGGGACUGAGACACGGCCCAGACUCCUACGGGAGGCAGCAGUGGGGAAUAUUGCACAAUGGGGGAAACCCUGAUGCAGCAACGCCGCGUGAGUGAUGAAGGUUUUCGGAUCGUAAAGCUCUGUCUUUGGGGAAGAUAAUGACGUAC
rnacentral:rRNA from 1 species